rnacentral:lncRNA from 1 species
GUUCUUGGUUCCUCUCUAUGGUACCAGGGCGGAGAAACGCUAAGAUCUUCGGCAAUAGGGAUAGGAAGUGACGUAAGGAUGGCGGAGGGGCGCGAGGUUUCAAGAUGGCGGUGGCAGGGUUGCUGACCGGGAGGCAGAGGUGAAGGCCCCUACGAGGUAAAAGAGGCCAAGAAUCGUCCCAUCCCCGCUUCCUGCAGUCCCAGGAACCCAGCAGAAGUGUGAGUGUGCAGGAUUGUUCCACUCCGUUCCUUCAUCUCUCCCGACCCUUCUCCGGGCCCGCGCGUUUGCCUCGGGGACACCAGGCCCGUCAGCUCCGCUCUUCCUCUCCGCGGUUGGGUCUCCCGGGUCGCGGACCGGGGGAUCUUCGAGCCAAGGGCGGUGCGGCUUCCAGCGUUUCAGCAGCUGUUCACCCGAGUCAGUUAGCGCCACCUCCUGCCUGUGCUCGUUGACCGGCCGCUUUAGAUUUGACGUCUUCUUGUACCUCGAGUCAGGGUCAACCGUCGCUAUGGUUUCGGCAGUUGCUGCUGCUGUUGCUUCCCUUGGUAAACUGGGCUCCGUCCCACUGCUGCCUCUUCGGUUAAAUUUAGUUUCCCCACGGUUUUGUGGCCCAGUUUCCCUGUCGUUUCUGCUUUUAAACCAAAAGUAGUUCGUGCAGACUAAGGCUCCACGGUCUUCUGUAGAAAUCCUCUGUAAUUAGUAUCUGUUCUUUGUUACAGUUGCGGGAGAGGAAGGUCAAAACAGGAGCCUAAGGGUAAUUGAGAAAACAGCAAACAAGAUACAAGUCAUCAAAUAUCAGGGGAGCCUAUAUUUCUACUAAUGUUGCUUGUUCCCACCUCCUUUCUCCCUGACUCCCAGUUUUUUCUGUGAAGGAAAUCCUGCGCAGGGUGAAUUAGUUGCCACUGGAAAAGCUUUGAAGCAUUUAGCAGAAAUCAAGGCAUUUGAACACUUGCUGAAAGAGGCAUUAACUAGUGAACUUUUCUUGACAAAAUCUUCAUACGAGGAAGAAGGGGAGGUAUAAUUACUUGUAUAGGCUACUAAAAAUUGUAUCUCAUGAUCUUCCCUUUCCCACCCUUUAAAAGUCUACUUUCAGGGGUGCCUGGGUGGCUCAGUCGGUUAAGAGUCCCGACUUCGGCUCAGGUCAGGAUCUCACGGUUUGAGGGUUCGAACCCCGCGUCGGGCUCUGUGCUGACAGCCUGGAACCUGCUUCGGAUUCUGUGUCUCCCUCUCUCUGCCCCUCCCCUACUUGCUCUCUC